rnacentral:rRNA from 1 species
ACGGAGGGUGCAAGCGUUAAUCGGAAUUAAUGGGCGUAAAGCGCGCGUAGGUUGUUUGUUAAGCGAGAUGUGAAAGCCCCGGGCUUAACCUGGGAACUGCAUUUCGAACUGGCAAGCUAGAGUACAGUAGAGGGUAGUGGAAUUUCCUGUGUAGCGGUGAAAUGCGUAGAGAUGGGAAGGAACAUCAGUGGCGAAGGCGACUGCCUGGACUGAUACUGACACUGAGGUGCGAAAGCGUGGGGAGCAAACAGG